CUCGAGUGGCGAACGGGUGAGUAACACGUGGGUGAUCUGCCCUGCACUUCGGGAUAAGCUUGGGAAACUGGGUCUAAUACCGGAUAGGAACCAUCUUUAGUGUGGCGGUUGGAAAGUUUUUUCGGUGUAGGAUGAGCUCGCGGCCUAUCAGCUUGUUGGUGGGGUAAUGGCCUACCAAGGCGGCGACGGGUAGCCGGCCUGAGAGGGUGUACGGCCACAUUGGGACUGGGAUACGGCCCAGACUCCUACGGGAGGCAGCAGUGGGGAAUAUUGCACAAUGGGCGCAAGCCUGAUGCAGCGACGCCGCGUGGGGGAUGAAGGCCUUCGGGUUGUAAACUCCUUUCGCUAGGGACGAAGCUUUUUGUGACGGUACCUAGAUAAGAAGCACCGGCUAACUACGUGCCAGCAGCCGCGGUAAUACGUAGGGUGCGAGCGUUGUCCGGAAUUACUGGGCGUAAAGGGCUCGUAGGUGGUUUGUCGCGUCGUCUGUGAAAUUCUGGGGCUUAACUCCGGGCGUGCAGGCGAUACGGGCAUAACUUGAGUGCUGUAGGGGUAACUGGAAUUCCUGGUGUAGCGGUGAAAUGCGCAGAUAUCAGGAGGAACACCGAUGGCGAAGGCGGGUUACUGGGCAGUUACUGACGCUGAGGAGCGAAAGCAUGGGUAGCGAACAGGAUUAGA
rnacentral:rRNA from 1 species